rnacentral:rRNA from 1 species
AUGGACGCUGGAAUGAGACAAUCGAGGGUCCGGUUUUCUGGUGUAGGGCAGGAAGAUCAGGGCAGCGGCCAGGCUAUGGCAAUGCCACCACAGCGACAGCGAGGCACGCCUUUUGGAAGAGGUGAAGAAUAUGACGCCGCGUACGCAGCGACGGUGGCGGCAGUGGCGUAUGCCAUUGCUGCAAUGGAGGAAGAGAAGUUACCACCACAGCAGAAGCCUAUCCCAGAGAAAACAGCAUCUCGGCAGAAGCGUGUAACAGUUCAUGAGCCCACAGCCGCCCCGCCGCCGAGAUCACCACCCAGGAGAGGUGGAAGCAUGAAAAGGCCAACUGAAGGAAGCAAAAUCUCAAGAUUGUUUAGUGGUAACAAAGAAAUCGUUGAAGUUGGCGACGAAGACGAACAAGGAGCGAAUGUUUCGGUGAGGAGGCCGGUGAAACCGACGCCAAAGAAGCCAGGAGGUCCAACUCCAGGCCAGAACGUGGUAGGGAAGGUGGCCGACUCCAUCCCGAACCUGAAGGACGAUCCAAGUUUCGCGAGGAAAACACCAGACAAGAAGAGAAGCAGAAACUUUGAGCAGGAGGAAGCAAAUUGGAAGGCGAAGCCCGAGGUUAACCCGACGACCUCGUUUCCAGAAGAGCGGAAACGGAGCUGGAAGCACGAGCAGGAACCGGCGAAUCAGAGGGCGCCACCGGCAGCCAGGCCUCCAGGAAUGGUUUAUUCCAGCGAGGCGGAGAGGAUGGCGGCAGCGUGGGAGAAGGAGGAGCUGGCGAAGAUCAAGGAGCGGUACAACGAGACGAUGGAAACCAUAGCCGAAUGGGAGACUGAGAAGAAGGCCAAGGCCAGGCGCCAGAAGGAGCCCAAAGAGGGUGAUUCAGAGAGGAAGCGAGCAAAGGCGCUGGAGGAGUACAACGAUGAGAUGAAGCGGAUCAGCAAGGUGGCCGCUGCAUCGAGGAUGUCGGCAGAGGACAAGAAAAGGAACGCCGAGGGCAAAGUCUGGGAGAAGGCGGCCAAAAUCCGGUCAACGGGGAAGCUCCCUCGGUCCUGUGGCUGCUUCUGA